rnacentral:rRNA from 1 species
GAUGAACGCUGGCGGCGUGCCUAAUACAUGCAAGUCGAGCGAACGGACGAGAAGCUUGCUUCUCUGAUGUUAGCGGCGGACGGGUGAGUAACACGUGGAUAACCUACCUAUAAGACUGGGAUAACUUCGGGAAACCGUAGCUAAUACCGGAUAAUAUUUUGAACCGCAUGGAUCAAAAGUGAAAGACGGUCUUGCUGUCACUUAUAGAUGGAUCCGCGCUGCAUUAGCUAGUUGGUAAGGUAACGGCUUACCAAGGCAACGAUGCAUAGCCGACCUGAGAGGGUGAUCGGCCACACUGGAACUGAGACACGGUCCAGACUCCUACGGGAGGCAGCAGUAGGGAAUCUUCCGCAAUGGGCGAAAGCCUGACGGAGCAACGCCGCGUGAGUGAUGAAGGUCUUCGGAUCGUAAAACUCUGUUAUUAGGGAAGAACAUAUGUGUAAGUAACUGUGCACAUCUUGACGGUACCUAAUCAGAAAGCCACGGCUAACUACGUG